UGAAAAGUUUUGGCUCUGUACAUUAUCUACAGACAUAUAUGUAUGUAUAUUAAAGCGCUUCAAAUAUGUAGUGUUGGAUAGAUUUGAAAAGUGGUGUAAAGAAAAGCGUUAAUGCUAGAUGAAAAUUUAUAAAUCAAACUGGGGGAGGUAGUUGGAGUGACGUACCCCGUGAUCUCAAUCCUCUAGAAGAGAAAAUACUGGCAAUUAUAACGAUUGAUGCUGUCGACGGGGAUGCAUCCAUACCGGAAGCCGGUGUUGAAUUUAAGGAACGUCCUGAGGAUUCUGUGGAUAUUUUGGAAAGUGAAGAAACAUUUUUAUCGCCAUCAAUAUUAUCAACAGGUGCACUUUCAUGUCAUCAACAUCUACAGCUGAGAUUUUAUGCCAGUAGAAUAUUUGGAACUUGAAGAUACAUUUAUAUCUCCCGGAAAAAAAUGAAAACAACUCCCUUACUUUCAACCCCAUCAACGUCUAAAGUUUACCGAAACAAAAGCAAUAAAACUUUUACACCACCAAACAAGAGCAACAAAAAUUCACUAUCUUCAAACAUACCAAAAUAUAAUGAAGCAUUAAAUGAAGCAAAGGAGAUGCAUAAAGACUUGAUUGCAAAAUUAAAUAAUAUAGAAAAUCAAAACCAUACAAUUUA